GAUUUCUGGCGAGACAUAUCUGGCCGGCCACGGUUUCGUGUGUUAGUGCUUGAUAUUCUAGCCAUCCUUCCAAUGGCUAUUCAUCCUUCUUCAUUGAGGUGGUGAGUGGUAUUGGAUCUUUUACUUUGAAAAAAUUAGAGUGUUUCAAGCAGGCUUUAUGCUGUGAAUACAUUAGCAUGGAAUAAUAAUUUAGGACUUCGGUUCUAUUUUGUUGGUUUCUAGGACUGAAGUAAUGAUUGAUAGGGAUAGUUGGGGGUGCUAGUAUUCAGCGGCCAGAGGUGAAAUUCUCGGAUUCGCUGAAGACUAACUUAUGCGAAAGCAUU
rnacentral:rRNA from 2 species